rnacentral:rRNA from 1 species
UACAGAGGUCCCAAGCGUUGUUCGGAUUCACUGGGCGUAAAGGGUGCGUAGGUGGCGAGGUAAGUUUGAUGUGAAAUCUCCGGGCUUAACCCGGAAACUGCAUUGAAUACUAUCUCACUCGAGGUUUGGAAGGGGGGACUGGAAUUCUCGGUGUAGCAGUGAAAUGCGUAGAUAUCGAGAGGAACACCAGUGGCGAAGGCGAGUCCCUGGACAACACCUGACACUGAGGCACGAAAGCUAGGGGAGCAAACAGG